GUGCUCGCUUCGGCAGCACAUAUACUAAAGU
rnacentral:snRNA from 1 species